UCAAGUUCUUGUUCUCCUACACAUUGCUCGGGGGCUUGAGGGAUAUGGGUACCCCAUCAACCCCCACUGACUAGGAUACUGGCUAGACCUGACAAGUGGGCCCGCCCGACUAGAACAUGCAGGCCAAAGACAUGAAGUUACUUGGAGUACACAACAAGGCAACAAGACUGUCCAAAUCUACCCGGACAUCAUGGGACUCAUUUUAUAGUCC
rnacentral:lncRNA from 1 species